CGGCUGAAUAUGGGCCAAGCCCAUUACGAAUAAAAGAGAAAAAAAAGGUUUUGUGGUGGAUGCCAAUAUAUACAUCAGCAUCAUACGGCUGGGGGGAGGGAUCAUCAGUUGGACGCAAAGAGGAUACAACAUCAGGAGGUUCGAUUAGCAGGAAAAAGAAGAAGGGUUCAAGAUUCAAAGCCGCAAUCAAGAUUCAAGUUCGAGUUCACAACGAGCUCGAAGAAAGAAGAAGGAGCAAGUCACUCGAAAUCACAAGCAAAUCAAGAUCGCGGUAAAUCCCUUGCAUGAUUGCGGCGCACCCGAACCGAACACAUACACGAAUCGUCGACUUUAUGCGCUUCCGGUCCAAGAUGUUGGUUUUGAUGGGUUAUCUUACCAUUUUGUUUAGUAAAUGUUGUUUUGUAAGUGACUAGUUUGUUAGUAAAAAGUUUGGAUACUAGACUUUUGUGUAGUUUGUACAAAAGGUUCAUGGCGAACCAUAUACGGUCUUAACUUUGAUUA